rnacentral:sRNA from 1 species
ACACGAGAGGGGAGGUGGUCCAAAGUUGAAUACUUAUCGGACUCGUGAGGUGGCUACUUCCUAGCCGCCCGUUGGACUACGGUCCGAACCGCUGCCUUUGUGCACGUAGACGGCGGUGAGGCAAACCAAGGUAACCACCGACCCCUCAGGCUGCCGGACUCGUCCGACCGGCUCCGCGAUACGAAUCGCGGAACAAAGCCUGAGGGGCUUUUUAA